rfam:Setaria italica strain Yugu1 chromosome VI, whole genome shotgun sequence.
CUUCUCAAUGAUGAAGAACUAGUCUCUUAGGUACUGAUCGGGCUCGAUAUGGAGUUUAAUCCUAUCAUGUCUGCGGUCCUUGCUUGCGUUGAACCGAUCUCGGUCAGUGAGCUCUACACCCAACUGCUUGCCUUUGAGC